rnacentral:rRNA from 1 species
GUAGCUGGUCUGAGAGGAUGGCCAGCCACACUGGAACUGAGACACGGUCCAGACUCCUACGGGAGGCAGCAGUGGGGAAUAUUGGACAAUGGGGGCAACCCUGAUCCAGCAAUGCCGCGUGUGUGAAGAAGGCCUGAGGGUUGUAAAGCACUUUCAGUGGGGAGGAGGGUUGAUAGGUUAAGAGCUARUUAAUUGGACGUUACCCACAGAAGAAGCACCGGCUAACUCCGUGCCAGCAGCCGCGGUAAUACGGAGGGUGCGAGCGUUAAUCGGAAUUACUGGGCGUAAAGGGUGCGUAGGUGGUUUAUUAAGUUAUCUGUGAAAUCCCUGGGCUUAACCUGGGCAGGUCAGAUAAGACUGGUUGACUCGAGUAUGG